CGACCUCAUAGUCUUGCCUUGUGGUCUCUUCCUCUCUCAAGCUGUUCAGCCUAACAAGAAACAAACACAAGAAGACCAAAUGGGCUUGAGAUGCCCUUUACAGAGGUCAGACAUCUGCACUUGGGACUGACCUGUCUGCCUGGACAAUGGUUCUAGAAAGUUCUGUCACUUCCUGUGCUGGGCUGAGUGUCCUCACCCCCCAUAAGGUGGGUGACACUGUGCUUCUCGUGGGCCUGUGAGGAUUAAGGUAACUGCAAAAUGCUUCAGGGACCACCUGGAACGAGGCUGGCGUCAGCUGACCACAGCCAUGAUUGUCAACACUUCCUUCAAAUCUCCUGGUACCUGUUAUUUUUUUCCUAAAUAGCUUAAAUAUUUUGGUUUUCUAAAAUUAAGAUCUUAGAAAACUUAUAACAUUCCCAUGUUUCAGAGAAAGAAAAAAAACUCUUGGCUUUUGCAUACAUUGUCUUUAAAGGCAGUUUUCAUUAAGAAAAUUUUAUUUUAUUUGUUUGUUUUGUUUGGCCGUGCCACGCAGCCUGCAGGAUCUUAGUUCCCCCACCAGGGAUCAAAUCCGCGCCCUCGGCAGUGAAAGCACAAGAGUCCUAACCACUGGACCUCUAGGGAAUUCCAAGAAAAUUUUAAGAAGGAUUUUAACUCUGAAUUGAAUAAGAAGGUAGGUAAAAUUAUUGACUUGGUAAGGAGUUGCUUCACAUCUACUAAGGCCAGCAGAUAUGCAGUUUGGAAUGUGUUUAGUAUAGUUGAUUCCAGAAAGAUAAUGCUUUGGAUAGUUCUAUAAUAUCAAUAAGACUGGGGAUCUUUCAAGAGAGCAAUUGUUUUUUGACUGGGUCUACAGCUUGGGCUGAUCUGCUGUUUGAUGCCAGUGAUGGGAGAGGAGUAUGGGCACAGGUACUCUGUAAACGUAGCAUUCUGUGACCCAUCUACCCUCCAUCCAGGAGCCACUGUGAAGGGCCCAAGAGUGGAAGACUAAUGCGGAGAACCUUGAUGCCAGUGCCAGAUUUUUUUUUUUUUUAAUAUUUAUUUAUUUAUUUAUUUUGGCUGCUCUGGGUCUUGGUUGCAGCACAUGGACUCUCAGUUGCGGCAUGCAUGUGGGAUCUAGUUCCCUGACCAGGGAUCGAACCCAGGGCCCCUGCAUUGGGAGCGCGGAGUCUUACCCACUGGACCACCAGGGAAGUCCUGCCAGUGUCACAUUUUACAAGGACUAAGAGAAAUGAAAACAUAUCCAUAAAGACUUGCACACCAGUGUUCAUAGCAGCGUUACUCCUGAUAGCCAAAAAUGGAAACCACCCAACCGUCCAUCAACUGAUGAGUAGAUAAAAUGUGGGGUAUCCACACAGUGGAAUACUACUCAGCAAUACAAAGGAACAAAAUACUACUAUGUGCUACAACAUGAACGAAUCCCAAAAUAAUUAUAAGUGAAAGAAGCAGAUGCAAAAGAAUAUGAUUCCAUUUCUCGGAAACGUCCAGAAAAGGCAAAUCCAUGGAGAAAGUAAGUCAGUGGCACCAGGUGGCCCACAGGCGCCCCCAGGGCUCCAGGCACCUCACCCACACAUGCCUCCACCCUGUGGCCAGCUCCCUGUGGUGGUGAGAGUGAGCUCUGGCAGGUGACUAGUGAGCACACACAGAAAGCUGGCCCAAAUCUGUGGGCCACGGAAGGACCACAAACUCCAGCUUUAGCACCGACCUUGGGAAAGCAAGGUACAUGAAAAGGUGCUCAACAUCACUGAUCAUCAGGGAAAUGCAAAUCAAAACCACAAUGAGAUGGACUUAUAUACACUACCAAAUGUAAAACAGAUAGCUGGUGGGAAGCAGCUGCAUAGCACAGGGAG